rnacentral:rRNA from 1 species
GACGAACGCUGGCGGCGUGCUUAACACAUGCAAGUCGAACGGAAAGGCCCUGCUUUUGUGGGGUGCUCGAGUGGCGAACGGGUGAGUAACACGUGAGUAACCUGCCCUUGACUUUGGGAUAACUUCAGGAAACUGGGGCUAAUACCGGAUAGGAGCUCCUGCUGCAUGGUGGGGGUUGGAAAGUUUCGGCGGUUGGGGAUGGACUCGCGGCUUAUCAGCUUGUUGGUGGGGUAGUGGCUUACCAAGGCUUUGACGGGUAGCCGGCCUGAGAGGGUGACCGGCCACAUGGGGACUGGGAUACGGCCCAGACUCCUACGGGGGGCAGCGGGGGGGAAUUUUGCACAAUGGGCGGACGCCGGAUGCAGCAACCCCGGGUGCGGGAUGACGGCCUUCGGGUUGUAACCCGUUUUCGCCUGUGACGAAGCGUGGGUGCCGGGAAUGGGGAAAGAAGCCCCGGCUACCUCCGU